UACGGAGGAUCCGAGCGUUAUCCGGAUUUAUUGGGUUUAAAGGGUGCGCAGGCGGGGGAUUAAGUCGGCGGUGAAAUUUUGCAGCUCAACUGUAAAAGUGCCUUCGAAACUGGUUUCCUUGAGUGUAGAUGAAGUAGGCGGAAUUUGUGGUGUAGCGGUGAAAUGCUUAGAUAUCACGCAGAACUCCGAUUGCGAAGGCAGCUUACUAAGCUACAACUGACACUGAAGCACGAAAGCGUGGGGAUCAAACAGGAUUAGAUACCCCUGUAGU
rnacentral:rRNA from 1 species